rnacentral:rRNA from 1 species
GGAAUUGUUCGCAAUGGGCGCAAGCCUGACGACGCAACGCCGCGUGGAGGAUGAAGGUCUUCGGAUUGUAAACUCCUGUUGCCCGGGACGAAUGGCUCCAACCUAAUACGUUGGAGUGUUACGGUCGCGGGUGAGGAAGCCCCGGCUAACUCUGUGCCAGCAGCCGCGGUAAUACAGAGGGUGCGAGCGUUAAUCGGAAUUACUGGGCGUAAAGCGCACGUAGGCGGCUCUGCAAGUCGGGUGUGAAAUCCCCGGGCUCAACCUGGGAACUGCAUUCGAUACUGCAUUGCUGGAGUAUGGGAGAGGGAAGUGGAAUUUCCGGUGUAGCGGUGAAAUGCGUAGAUAUCGGAAGGAACACCAGUGGCGAAAGCGACUUCCUGGACCAAUACUGACGCUCAGGUGCGAAAGCGUGGGGAGCAAA